UAGAAAGGAGCUCAAGGAAUACUCAUGCAGCAGAAAAGGGGAAAUUCCCAAGGAGAAAGAGCUGAAAUUCUACACCCAGAAUAAGAACAGAGUAGGAGCCAGAAGUGCCCCAAAUGGCACAGUUUCCUCUACAGCCACUUGCAGAAGAAGCUGAGUUGCUACUCCAGUGUGCAUUUUGGAUGGAUUUACAGAGCAUUGCUCACACCCUUCUGCAUCUGCUGCUGGCUUACUGCACCUUGGGCAUGACUGACAGGACCUGCUGCUGUUCGUGGGAGGUGCUGCCCGAAGCAGGUAGACUAAUUGUCCACACAUAGUUGGAAGCAAUCCAGGUAUGUCACCAGCUGUUCACUUGAGACACUGCCUUCCCUGAAGAUUUUCUUCAGAUCCUGUGACCCAAACCUCAACUGUCUAGCCUUUGAAUUAGCAACUCACAGGAGCUGCCUGAUUUAAGACAUGGUUUUGCUCCCGCCAGCAUCCAAUGGAGUUUUCGAGUGUUGUGUUAUGGCAGUUAGUA